AAGAGACGGAAGAGAAGAAUUUCAAAAAUGAAAUCAGAAGUUUGUAGCCGUUACAAAAGUUAUUGCAUCGAUCGAUUCGUGCCUACGUGGCAUGUUUUAAGUGGCGGAAAUAUUUGGCUCCUAAUGCAAUUUUUUGGUUAUGGUUUUUGGGAUCCGGUUUGGUUUAUUUUGUCGGUUUUACUUGUGGAAAACUUUUUUUUUUCUCUGUUCGGUUUGACACA